UAGAUACCCUGGUAGUCCACGCUGUAAACGAUGUCACUUGGAGGUUGUGCCCUUGAGGCGUGGCUUCCGGAGCUAACGCGUUAAGUCGACCGCCUGGGGAGUACGGCCGCAAGGUUAAAACUCAAAUGAAUUGACGGGGGCCCGCACAAGCGGUGGAGCAUGUGGUUUAAUUCGAUGCAACGCGAAGAACCUUACCUACUCUUGACAUCCACAGAAUUUGGCAGAGAUGCUAAAGUGCCUUCGGGAACUGUGAGACAGGUGCUGCAUGGCUGUCGUCAGCUCGUGUUGUGAAAUGUUGGGUUAAGUCCCGCAACGAGCGCAACCCUUAUCCUUUGUUGCCAGCACGUAAUGGUGGGAACUCAAGGGAGACUGCCGGUGACAAACCGGAGGAAGGUGGGGAUGACGUCAAGUCAUCAUGGCCCUUACGAGUAGGGCUACACACGUGCUACAAUGGCAGAUACAAAGUGAAGCGAACUCGCGAGAGUCAGCGGACCACAUAAAGUCUGUCGUAGUCCGGAUUGGAGUCUGCAACUCGACUCCAUGAAGUCGGAAUCGCUAGUAAUCGUAGAUCAGAAUGCUACGGUGAAUACGUUCCCGGGCCUUGUACACACCGCCCGUCACACCAUGGGAGUGGGUUGCAAAAGAAGUAGGUAGCUUAACCUUCGGGAGGGCGCUUACCACUUUGUGAUUCAUGACUGGGGUGAAGUCGUAACAAGGUAACCGUAGGGGAACCUGCGGUUG
rnacentral:rRNA from 1 species